rnacentral:rRNA from 1 species
AACGAACGCUGGCGGCGUGCCUAAUACAUGCAAGUCGAGCGCAGGAAGCCGUUCCGAACCCUUCGGGGGGACGACGGUGGAAUGAGCGGCGGACGGGUGAGUAACACGUAAAGAACCUGCCCAUAGGUCUGGGAUAACCACGAGAAAUCGGGGCUAAUACCGGAUGUGUCAUUGGACCGCAUGGUCCGCUGAUGAAAGGCGCCCCGGCGUCGCCCAUGGAUGGCUUUGCGGUGCAUUAGCUAGUUGGUGGGGUAACGGCCAACCAAGGGGACGAGCAAUAGCUGGACUGGGAGGGUGUUCGGCCACACUGGGACUGAGACACGGCCCAGACUCCUACGGGAGGCAGCAGUAGGGAAUCUUCGACAAUGGACGAAAGUCUGAUGGAGCAACGCCGCGUGAACGAUGAAGGCUUUCGGGUCGUAAAGUUCUGUUGUAAGGGAAGAACAAGUGCCGCAGGCAAUGGCGGCACCUUGACGGUACCUUGCGAGAAAGCCACGGCUAACUACGUGCCAGCCGCCGCGGUAACAC